GUUAGUUGUAAUUAACGUUACUCUUCACUUGUUACUUGUACACUUGUUGCUCCAUGUUUUGGCUUUCUAUGCCAGUGUUUCAAUGCUGAAGUGAUAAAUAGCCUUAAAGUACAUUAUGUGUUCCAUUGUAAACGUUUUACAGGUAAAAUCUGUUAAUUUAUAAUCCAGUUUAUUGAGUGCAGAAUGCUGACGUUCCAGUGAUU